UACAGAGGUCUCAAGCGUUGUUCGGAUUCAUUGGGCGUAAAGGGUGCGUAGGUGGCUCUGUAAGUCUGGUGUGAAAUUUCGGAGCUUAACUCCGAAACUGCAUUCGAUACUGCGGUGCUUGAGGACUGGAGAGGAGACUGGAAUUCAUGGUGUAGCAGUGAAAUGCGUAGAGAUCAUGAGGAAGACCAGUGGCGAAGGCGGGUCUCUGGACAGUUCCUGACACUGAGGCACGAAGGCCAGGGGAGCAAACGGG
rnacentral:rRNA from 1 species